CGUAGCUUCGACUUGGCUGCUAGACCUGCAACUUGCACAUGGACCAGCCGUGGCUUCGCGCUCAAGCGUUAUUCGAGCGCUGACGUACUGACACGCCCCGUGCCACUCCGGCUUAUCUUUCGCACUAUCGCCGACGGACUCUUCAUGGCGGACGUGCUCCCGGCAUUAGAUCGAGAGCGCCGACUGUCUUCACACACCCCCUGUUUCACAACGGCAGAUCUUCCUGGCGGAUAUCCCCCCGGCACAGCCUCAACUCUACAAACUCUUCGUGCCACCGGGUAUAGCAACUGCAGACGAGGCCAUCGUCAAGGAGUUUCAGCGCCGGCAACAGAUCGGGGACCGCCACAGGGGUCGUCGUUACUGCGAGCUUCAACGUCGGCAUCAAACAAAAUGGCAGGUGAGCCUGCUAACGAGGCUGGCGAGGGUCGCUGUCUUCUCCCACGACGGAAGUGCGUGUAAUAGCUUCAGGUUUAGCGAACACUAGGCAGGUAGGUAGCUGUUAGGGGUUUCCGUCGUGGGGGUAAGACUCAUCCGGAAUGUCGUUGCACUCCCGGCCACCAUUUUGUGCCAGUCUCU